GGAUGUGAGGGCAAUCUGGCUGCGACAUCUGUCACCCAUUGAUCGCCAGGGUUGAUUCGGCUGAUCUGGCUGGCUAGGUGGGUGUCCCCUUCCUCCCUCACCGCUCCAUGUGCGUCCCUCCCAAAGCUGCGCUCGCUCGAAGAGGACAACCAUCCCCGAUAGAGGAGGACCGGUCUUCCGGUCAAGGGCAUAUGAGUAGCUGCGCUCCCCUGCUAGAACCUCCAAACAAACUCUCAAAUUGUACUUAGUAUUUUUAUGGUUAAAAUAAUUUUAAUUGAAAUGUUACAAAAAUAAAAUUAUUUUU
ensembl:misc_RNA 7SK 7SK RNA